AGCCAGUAGGAAGAAGAAAAAAGAGAAGAAAAUGACACUGAUAAUCCACAAAGAGGACUAAUAAAAACGGUCUUGCUCUUUCACCCAGGCUGGAGUGCUGGAUGCCGCCAUCACAGCUCACUGCUGCCUUGACCUCGUGGGCUCAAUCAAUCCUCUUGCCUCUGCCGCCAGAGCAGCUGGGACUACAGGCAUGUGCCACCGUGCCUGGCUAAUUUUUUCAACUUUUUUUGGUAGAGAUGUUGCCCAGGCUGGUCUCAAACUAGCAGGUCAAACAAUCCUCUCACCUCAGCCUCCCACCUAAAGUUAUUUUUAAUAAUAUUUAUUAAUGAGUUUUCAGUUACUUAAAAAAACAUAAUGGAAUCUGUCAGGCAUAUUUGUUAAGUAUUUGUUCUGUGUUUGAUCCACAAAUAUUUACUGGGCACCUGAUGUGUACCAGGCACUGUGCUGCUCACUCAGAAGACACCAAGAUGGCCAUGGUCAGCCCCCAGCUGGAGCGGCCCCAGGAGGCGAGCACUGCCUGUGGUACAGCUUCUGCAUGCCCUCCUGCAAGAGGCCACUUACAAAAGUUAUUCCAGAGCAACCCUGCAAAUUCGGUGUUGUCAUUCCCAUUUUGCACUUGAGGAGUGCGUGCCUCAGAGAGGUCACAGAACCACCUCGGCAUCACCUGGACAUGCAUUAGGAAUGCAGAGUCUCAGGCCCCACC